AUUCCAGCUCCAAUAGCGUAUAUUAAAGUUGUUGCAGUUAAAACGCUCGUAGUCGGAUUUCGGGGCGGGCCGACCGGUCUGCCGAUGGGUAUGCACUGGCCGGCGCGUCCUUCCACCCGGAGACCGCGCCUACUCUUAACUGAGCGGGCGCGGGAGACGGGUCUUUUACUUUGAAAAAAUCAGAGUGUUUCAAGCAGGCAGUCGCUCUUGCAUGGAUUAGCAUGGGAUAAUGAAAUAGGACUCUGGUGCUAUUUUGUUGGUUUCGAACACCGGAGUAAUGAUUAACAGGGACAGUUGGGGGUAUUCAUAUUUACAUGUCAGAGGUGAAAUCCUUGGAUUUUGGAAAGAUGAACUACUGCGAAGGCAUUUACCAAGGAUGUUUUCAUUA
rnacentral:rRNA from 1 species